rnacentral:rRNA from 1 species
CAGUAGCCGCGGUAAUACGUAGGGUGCGAGCGUUAAUCGGAAUUACUGGGCGUAAAGCGUGCGCAGGCGGUUGUGUAAGACAGGUGUGAAAUCCCCGGGCUUAACCUGGGAACUGCGCUUGUGACUGCACAGCUAGAGUAUGGCAGAGGGGGGUGGAAUCCCACGUGUAGCAGUGAAAUGCGUAGAGAUGUGGAGGAACACCGAUGGCGAAGGCAGCCCCCUGGGCCAAUACUGACGCUCAUGCACGAAAGCGUGGGGAGCAAACAGGAUUAGAUACCCGUGUAGUCCCUGUCUCUUAUAU